CCUAGAAAUUUAGGUUUUGGGGCUUUUUUCCGUCUUUGGGUCCAUAAAACUCUAGUUUUGGUUAUUUGGUUGGGAUUUGAAAUCGGUGUUAGUGAGGCAAGUGUGAAGAGGAAGAAUUAGGGUUUUGGAUGUAUGGCGUCGGGGCCUAUAGUGGGAGGAGAUGAUGGAGCUAAGGUGAAGCAGAGAUAUAAUGAGAACAAGGUGUACACGAGGAAAGCAUAUAAAGGACCUAAGAACAGAGCUAAUGCCUUGUCCGCUGUUGUUCCCAACGCUGCCCCAGCUACGACAACUGCCAACAAAGAUGACAUCAACAACAACAACAGCAUGGUCAAGAACGAUAAUGUCGUAGAGACCGAGAAGAAUGAGAACAACGAGUCGGCUCAGGAACAACCCCAGACUAUAUUGCCCGAGGAUGGAAAUUCGGCUCAGCCACUACUAAAUCCGAGACCGGACGCGGUUUCAGAUGACUCGUCCACCUUAAAACGUCAGCAGAAUGAACCUUCUAGCCUCAACUGUCAGCUGGACGAACAUUCGAGCCCCCAUCAUCAGCAGGACGAACCUUCGAGUUCCAAUCGACAGGAGGAGGCUACUCCUAGGACUCGGGAGUUGCCAUCAGGAAAUGGCGCUGUAAAGUCAGGAUUGGAUAAUCGAAUUAAGAUAAACUUGUCCUCAAGGUCAAAGCAAGAGGUAUUGGAGCUCAAGAGGAAGCUUGAAAAUGAGCUUGAUACAGUGAGAAGUUUGGUCAGAAAAAUUGAAGUGAAACUGGGGCAGAUUGGUAAGUAUGGUAAGUCAAAUCCUCUGGUGAGUGAUAGAAUUGAUAAUGGCAUUGUGCCAAGGCGUGUUCAGUCUGAGGGCGCAUCUGUUGUUCCCCAAGAAUCUAUCAGGCCUUCGCACCGGUUAAAUUUGUCAGUGCUAGAGAAUAGUCACGGAGCCAGUGAAAUAGUUGAGAAGGAAAAGAGAACGCCCAAGGCAAACCAGUUAUAUAGGAAUUCAGAGUUCUUGCUUGGGAAAGAUAAAUUCCCUCCUGCAGAGAGCAAUAAGAAGUCAAAAUUAAAUGGAAAGAAGCAGGGUGGGGGAGAAAUGCGACGUGGUUUUGGGAUGGGAUCGAAAGUUUUCAAAAGCUGUAGUUCGUUGCUUGAGAAGUUGAUGAAACACAAGCAUGGUUGGGUGUUUAAUGCUCCUGUUGACGUUGAGGGGCUUGGAUUGCAGGAUUAUUUUAGCAUAAUCUCGCAUCCAAUGGACCUAGGUACUGUGAAAACUAGGCUUAAUAAGAAUUGGUACAAAUCGCCCAAGGAAUUUGCAGAGGAUGUGAGACUUACAUUUCGCAACGCUAUGAAAUAUAACCCACCAGGCCAAGAUGUUCAUGUAAUGGCAGACCUGCUAUCAAAGAUAUUUGAGGACAAAUGGGCUACAAUAGAAUCAGAUUUCAAUCGUGAGAUAAGAUAUGCACAUGAUUAUGGGACAGCUCUUCCUUUGCCCUCACCAAUGUCUAGAAAUGCUACUGGAUUCCUUCCACCACCUCUUGAUAUGAGAAGGAUUUUGGAUAGAUCAGAAUCAAUGAUGCAAACCCCAAAGUCAGUGCGCAUUACUCCAUCAAGUAGAACCCCUGCUCCAAAGAAGCCAAAGGCAAAGGAUCCUUAUAAAAGAGACAUGACCUAUGAGGAAAAGCAGAAACUUAGCACAAACCUCCAGAGUCUCCCUCCAGAGAAGUUAGAUGCCAUUGUACAGAUCAUUAAAAAAAGAAAUACAGCUCUUUCUCAACAUGAUGAUGAGAUUGAAGUGGACAUUGAUAGUGUUGAUACCGAGACUCUUUGGGAGCUUGAUAGAUUUGUGACCAAUUACAAGAAAAGUUUGAGCAAGAACAAGAGGAAGGCUGAACUUGCUAUUCAAAGGGCAGAAUCUGCAAAGAAUGCCCCACAAAAGGCAUCUGAUACAGUUGAGGUUCCAAAAGAAAAUUUAGCAGAUGAAAGGAAUGUACCCCCAUCAUUGCCUGCGCGAGGGUAUAAACCACUGGACAAUGGUAGUAGGUCAAGUAGUUCUAGCAGCUCAAGCAGUGAUUCAGGCUCCUCUUCAACUGAUUCUGAUACUGAAAGCUCCUCAGCAUCCGGAUCUGAUGCAGGAUCACAAGGAACUUGAAUAUAUUCUCUCAGUUCUCUGGUAUUUAGAGUUAGAUAAUGAUGAGAUGCUUUGCCUAAUUGGUGGUCUGAAGCCAAAGCUUCCAUGUUACGGCUCUAAAUUUUACAGCUGAUGUAUAGAGGAAGCAUUCUCGAGGUCAACAGUGAUCCUACCAAUGCAUGGCAGAUUCAGGAUUCUUGGUGUUGUACAAAGAUAUGUAAUUCCAAGUGCUUGGAGCCAUUAAUGGUUCACAUGAAAUCUCAUUCCAUAUGGUAGCCUGAGUUUGGCAUUGGGCUGGUUAGAGUAACAUUAGAGAGAUAUUAUUACUUUGUUUUUACAAUUAAGGAAGGUGAGUUUAAUUCUCUGGUUUUGUGCAAAAGGUUUUGGAAGGUGAGCAAUUCAGCAGUUAGUGAGAAGUAAUAAUCUUUCCUGCCUAUCAGGUGGCUGAGACGAUGACAGUUGUACAGUUAAUGUGUUCAAGCUUACUUAGGGCCCAUAGUGAUGAAAUAAGAUUCAUGAACUCUUUCCAUCGAAGUGGUAAAUGCUGCAGACGAAGGGCUGGUCAAGUUUUCAAAAUGUUUCUUACCUCUUUUCCAUGGCCAAGCCGAAGUGCUAGACGUAUGCCAAAAAAAAAGGGUGAUAUGCAUGGCGAACUGACGAAGUUUGUAUUUCGCGUUUACCAUCCUUGGACGAUUGUUGCGUUCCAGAUUUAGUAACGCGUUUUGAGGUUUCUUUGUUCUCUUUAAAUUUCUGAAUACAAAAUAAUUCAGUCGCCCAAAUUUGACCUGCAGCGAAAGCUGUGGCGAGGAAAUUCCGCAGGAAACUGGUCAUGUGAGAAGAAUUUAGUUCUUUUUCGGAGUAUUUUCACUGUAUGUAUGGUGAUCUUUCUUGAUGGAAUGAAUUGCAAUCUGGGGCAGUUGGUAAAUAGAAACAA